rnacentral:rRNA from 1 species
CCUACGGGUGGCAGCAGUGGGGAAUAUUGCACAAUGGUGGAAACCCUGAUGCAGCGACGCCGCGUGAAGGAAGAAGUAUUUCGGUAUGUAAACUUCUAUCAGCAGGGAAGCAAAUGAUGGUACCCGUCUAAGAAGCCGCGGCUAACUACGUGCAAGCAGCCGCGGCUAUACGCAGGGGGCCAGAGUUAUCCGGAUUUACUGGGUGUAAAGGGAGCGUAGGCGGUUUAGCAAGUCAGAAGGGAAUGCCCGGGGCUCAACUCCGGGACUGCUUUUGAAACUGUUGAACUAGAUUGCAGGAGAGGUAAGUGGAAUGCCUGGUGUAGCGGUGAAAUGCGUAGAUAUUAGGAGGAACACCAGUGGCGAAGGCGGCUUGCUGGACUGUAAAUGACGCUGAGGCUCGAAAGCGUGGGGAGCAAACAGGAUUAGAUACCCGAGUAGUC